rnacentral:rRNA from 1 species
CCUACGGGUGGCAGCAGUGGGGAAUAUUGCACAAUGGGGGAAACCCUGAUGCAGCGACGCCGCGUGAGGGAAGAAGUAUUUCGGGAUGUAAAGCUCUAUCAGCAGGGAAGAAGCAAGACGGUACCUGGCUAAGAAGCCCCGGCUAACUACGUGCCAGCAGCCGCGGUAAUACGUAGGGGGCAAGCGUUAUCCGGAUUUACUGGGUGUAAAGGGAGCGUAGACGGUAUGGCAAGUCUGAAGUGAAAGCCCAGGGCUUAACCCUGGGACUGCUUUGGAAACUGUUAGACUAGAGUGCUGGAGAGGUAAGUGGAAUUCCUAGUGUAGCGGUGAAAUGCGUAGAUAUUAGGAGGAACACCAGUGGCGAAGGCGGCUUACUGGACAGUAACUGACGUUGAGGCUCGAAAGCGUGGGGAGCAAACAGGAUUAGAUACCCGUGUAGUC